rnacentral:rRNA from 1 species
CUGUGAAGCGUGAGUGCUAGACGUACCUGCUUGUCAGUGUCAGAAGCUUAGCAGGGUCAGGCCUGGUUUGUACUUGGAUGGGAGACCGCAGGGAAGACCAGGUGCCACAGU